rnacentral:rRNA from 1 species
AGGGCACCACCAGGAGUGGAGCCUGCGGCUUAAUUUGACUCAACACGGGAAAACUCACCCGGCCCGGACACUGGAAGGAUUGACAGAUUGAGAGCUCUUUCUUGAUUCAGUGGGUGGUGGUGCAUGGCCGUUCUUAGUUGGUGGAGUGAUUUGUCUGGUUAAUUCCGAUAACGAACGAGACUCUAGCCUACUAAAUAGAUCGUCGGCUUACAAACGCCGACGAGACUUCUUAGAGGGACAGGCGGUGAUUCAACCGCACGAAACAGAGCAAUAACAGGUCUGUGAUGCCCUUAGAUGUCCGGGGCCGCACGCGCGCUACACUGAAGUGAUCAGCGUGCAUUCUCAGCCUACUCUGUCAAGAGUGGGGAACCCAAUGAACCUUCUUCGUGAUUGGGAUAGGGGAUUGUAAUUAUUCCCCUUGAACGAGGAAUUCCCAGUAAGCGCGAGUCAUAAGCUCGCGUUGAUUACGUCCCUGCCCUUUGUACACACCGCCCGUCGCUACUACCGAUUGAGUGUUUU